rnacentral:rRNA from 1 species
UACGUAGGGUGCAAGCGUUGUCCGGAAUUAUUGGGCGUAAAGAGCUCGUAGGCGGCUUGUUGCGUCGGCUGUGAAAUCCCGGGGCUUAACUCCGGGCGUGCAGCCGAUACGGGCAGGCUAGAGUCCGGUAGGGGAGACUGGAAUUCCUGGUGUAGCGGUGAAAUGCGCAGAUAUCAGGAGGAACACCGGUGGCGAAGGCGGGUCUCUGGGCCGGUACUGACGCUAAGGAGCGAAAGCGUGGGGAGUGAACAGG